rnacentral:rRNA from 1 species
UACAGAGACUGCAAGCGUUAUUCGGAUUCACUGGGCGUAAAGGGUGCGUAGGCGGUCGGGUAAGUCUGAUGUGAAAUCUCCGGGCUCAACCCGGAAAUGGCAUUGGAUACUAUUCGGCUCGAGGUCUGGAGGGGGGACUGGAAUACUUGGUGUAGCAGUGAAAUGCGUAGAUAUCAAGUGGAACACCAGUGGCGAAGGCGAGUCCCUGGACAGAUCCUGACGCUGAGGCACGAAAGCUAGGGGAGCAAACAGG